CCAUGCAUGUCUAAGAACAUAUGUGUACACAUGAAUCUGCGAACGGCUCAUUAUUAACACCCGUAAUCUACCCAGUUUUCAUAUCCAAAACGGAUAUCUGCGUUAAUUUUGGAGCUAAUACGUGCACCAACGUACUGCUAGCAAUAGUGGUAUGCACUUGUUAGUUUAAGACCGACUGGGGCAACCCGACUGGUGACUCUGAACAAUUUCUGCGGAUCGCAUGGUCUUGUACCGGCGACGUACUGGUCGAGCGGGUGCCCUAUCAACUAUUGAUGGAAGUCUAUGUGUCUUCCAUGGUUGUAACGGGUAACGGAGAAUCAGGGUUCGACUCCGGAGAGCUAGCCUUAGAAACGGCUAUCACAUCCAAGGAAGGCAGCAGGCGCGUAAAUUACCCACUCUCAAUUCGAGGAGGUAGUGACUAUCAAUAACGAGACAGAUCUCUUUGAGGUCUGUCAUUGAAAUGAGCACAACUUAAAGACUUUAACGAAGUCUAUGGGAGGGCAAGUCUGGUGCCAGCAGCCGCGGUAAUUCCAGCUCCCAACGUGUAUAUCGUCAUUGCUGCGGUUAAAAAGCUCGUAGUUGGAUCUUAGCUUAUGACAGUAGUUCACCAUGUGUGAUACUGCGUGUCUGAGCUGUUUCGCCGGUUUUCCAUGGUUUCGGCCGUGGUGACUGGUGUUGUAACUUUGAUUAAAUCAAUGUGAUUAAAACAGGCGUUUGCUUGUAUGCUUUAUCAUGGAAUAAUAGAAUAUGACUUCGGUCCAUUCUGUUGGUCUUGGGAUCGAAGUAAUGAUUAAAAGGAACAACUCGGGGGCAUCCGUAUCGCUGCGUGAGAGGUGAAAUUCUUGGACCGCAGCGAGACGACCUAUUGCGA
rnacentral:rRNA from 1 species